rnacentral:rRNA from 1 species
UACAGAGGUCCCAAGCGUUGUUCGGAUUCACUGGGCGUAAAGGGUGCGUAGGCGGUCGGGUAAGUCUGAUGUGAAAUCUCACAGCUUAACUGUGAAACUGCAUUGGAUACUAUCCGGCUCGAGGAAUGGAGGGGAGACUGGAAUACCUGGUGUAGCAGUGAAAUGCGUAGAUAUCAAGUGGAACACCAGUGGCGAAGGCGAGUCUCUGGACAUUUCCUGACGCUGAGGCACGAAAGCCAGGGGAGCAAACGGG